UCAUAGGUCAGUUGGUAAGAGCAUGAGACUCUUAAUCUCAGGAUUUGGGCUUCAAGCCCAACAUGGGGCAGAA